GACGAACGCUGGCGGCGUGCCUAAUACAUGCAAGUUGAGCGCUGAAGGUUGGUACUUGUACCGACUGGAUGAGCAGCGAACGGGUGAGUAACGCGUGGGGAAUCUGCCUUUGAGCGGGGGACAACAUUUGGAAACGAAUGCUAAUACCGCAUAAAAACUUUAAACACAAGUUUUAAGUUUGAAAGAUGCAAUUGCAUCACUCAAAGAUGAUCCCGCGUUGUAUUAGCUAGUUGGUGAGGUAAAGGCUCACCAAGGCGAUGAUACAUAGCCGACCUGAGAGGGUGGUCGGCCACAUUUGGACUGUGACACGGCCCAAACUCCUACGGGAGGCAGCAGUAGGGAAUCUUCGGCAAUGGACGAAAGUCUGACCGGGCAACGCCGCGUGAGUGAAGAAGGUUUUCGGAUCGUAAAACUCUGUUGGUAGAGAAGAACGUUGGUGAGAGUGGAAAGCUCAUCAAGUGACGGUAACUACCCAGAAAGGGACGGCUAACUACGUG
rnacentral:rRNA from 1 species